rnacentral:lncRNA from 1 species
AUAUGGCUGGAGGCAGCUUGCUGAGCAGUCUUGGCAUCUUGGCAUGUUGGCAGCUAUUGUCUGCUUUAGCGCCAAGUUUUGGAGUCAUUGCAUGCUUGCAAAAGGUAUCGUUCCCAAACCCCAAGGGUAUCCUUCCAUGCCCAUAAUAUUUUGACGCCCAACGUGGUUUUUGGCUCUCCUGAAAGCUACUCCUGUACCCCGGAUCAUCCACGAGGACACAGCUUCUCAGGUAGGAAAGGAGCCUUUUCUUUGACUCCUGAAACCCCCAUCUUUUGGGUGAUAUCUUUGUGGGAACUCUUUCGUGCUCUCUCUCCCAUCGGCCCCAGAUCAGUCUGGCCACUGGAGUCUGGGGUCUAUCUGUCGGCUCCCCGUUAUACUGGAAGAUGGUUCCAAGUUGUGUGGGAAGUCUUGCUGCCUCAGUUUUCAACUGAGUGAUCACCUCACUACUGGAACUGAGUGCUUUUGGUCGGGCAACCUAUGGACGCAUAGUUGUUGACCCUCCGUGUAGAAUUGGCCAAUUCUGCAUCUAAAUGGGACAGAGACAGAGUACCCCAAGAUUCCCCUUUGGGGCGUAUACUUAAAAAUUGGAAAAAAAUUGGCAC